GGGCGAUUGGUUUAGGGGUAUAACGUCUGUUUCGCAUAAUUCCCGCAGUGGGCGUGAUUACAGAAGGUCGGGGUUUCGAUUACCCCAUCGUCCA